rnacentral:rRNA from 1 species
CCUACGGGAGGCAGCAGUGAGGAAUAUUGGACAAUGGCCGUAAGGCUGAACCAGCCAAGUCGCGUGAAGGAAGAAGGAUCUAUGGUUUGUAAACUUCUUUUAUAGGGGAAUAAAGGUAUCCACGUGUGGAUAUUUGCAUGUACCCUAUGAAUAAGCAUCGGCUAACUCCGUGCCAGCAGCCGCGGUAAUACGGAGGAUGCGAGCGUUAUCCGGAUUUAUUGGGUUUAAAGGGUGCGUAGGUUGUUUUUUAAGUCAGCGGUGAAAGUUUGUGGCUCAACCAUAAAAUUGCAGUUGAAACUGGAAGACUUGAGUGUGUUUGAGGGAGGUGGAAUGCGUGGUGUAGCGGUGAAAUGCAUAGAGAUCACGCAGAACACCGAUGGCGAAGGCAGCUUACUAAGCCAUAACUGACGCUGAGGUACGAAAGCGUGGGGAGCAAACAGGAUUAGAUACCCUAGUAGUC